ACGAACGCUGGCGGCGUGCUUAACACAUGCCAGUCGCACGGAAAGGCCCUGCUUUUGUGGGGUGCUCGAGUGGCGAACGGGGGAGUAACACGUGAGUAACCUGCCCUUGACUUUGGGAUAACUUCAGGAAACUGGGGCUAAUACCGGAUAGGAGCUCCUGCUGCAUGGUGGGGGUUGGAAAGUUUCGGCGGUUGGGGAUGGACUCGCGGCUUAUCAGCUUGUUGGUGGGGUAGUGGCUUACCAAGGCUUUGACGGGUAGCCGGCCUGGGAGGGUGACCGGCCACCUUGGGACUGAGAUACGGCCCAGACUCCUACGGGAGGCAGCAGUGGGGAAUAUUGCACAAUGGGCGGAAGCCUGAUGCAGCAACGCCGCGUGCGGGAUGACGGCCUUCGGGUUGUAAACCGCUUUCGCCUGUGACGAAGCGUGAGUGACGGUAAUGGGUAAAGAAGCACCGGCUAACUACGUG
rnacentral:rRNA from 1 species